GACGUCGCGAGAAGUCCACUGAACCUUAUCAUUUAGAGGAAGGAGAAGUCGUAACAAGGUUUCCGUAGGUGAACCUGCGGAAGGAUCAUUGUCGAAUCCAGCAAAGCAAACGACCAGCGAACCUGUUCAAACGUGGGUGCAAGAGGGGGCCUCCCCCUCUUGGCGCCCCAUGCCGGUUGUAGCCCCAUGGGCUUCAGUCGUGCAUAAACCAAACCCCGGCGCGGAAAGCGCCAAGGACUACUCGAACAGAUGGCCUGCCUUAAGACCGCCCGUUGUGGUGCGGAUCGUCGGGACUAACGGCAUCUAUUGAAACCUAAACGACUCUCGGCAACGGAUAUCUCGGCUCUCGCAUCGAUGAAGAACGUAGCAAACUGCGAUACUUGGUGUGAAUUGCAGAAUCCCGUGAACCAUCGAGUUUUUGAACGCAAGUUGCGCCCGGAGCCAAUAGGCCGAGGGCACGUCUGCCUGGGCGUCACGCAUCGCGUCGCCCUCCCCACCCCUCGUCCUCAUUGGACGAGGGCAGUGCUGGGAGGGGGAAGAUGGCCUCCCGUGCUAGCGCGCGGCUGGCCUAAACAAGACUCCUUCGCAACGAAAGGCACGACAAGUGGUGGUUGGUGUCCUCAACUUGAACGCUGUCGUGCAAGACCUCGUUGCCGAAGCGACUGAGACCCUAAGCGGAGCCUCUUCAAGGAGCGCUCCCCAUGUUCGCGACCCCAGGUCAGGCGGGACUACCCGCUGAGUUUAAGCAUAUCAAUAAGCCGGAGGAAAAGAAACU
rnacentral:rRNA from 1 species